rnacentral:rRNA from 1 species
UUAUGACCUGGGCUACACACGUGCUACAAUGGGCAGAACAAAGGGCAGCGAAGCCGCGAGUUAGCCAAUCCCACAAAUCUGUUCUCAGUUCGGAUCGCAGUCUGCAACUCGACUGCGUGAAGUGGAAUCGCUAGUAAUCGCGGAUCAGCAUGCCGCGGUGAAUACGUUCCCGGGCCUUGUACACACCGCCCGUCACACCACGAGAGUUUGUAACACCCGAAGUCGGUGAGGUAACCUUUUGGAGCAGCCGCCGAAGGGGGGAAAAUGAUUGGGGGGAAGUCGUAACAAGGUAGCCGUAUCGAAGG